rnacentral:rRNA from 1 species
UACGUAGGUGGCAAGCGUUGUCCGGGAUUAUUGGGCGUAAAGCGCGCGCAGGCGGUCCUUUAAGUCUGAUGUGAAAGCCCUCGGCUCAACCGAGGAGGGUCAUUGGAAACUGGAGGACUUGAGUGCAGAAGAGGAAAGUGGAAUUCCAAGUGUAGCGGUGAAAUGCGUAGAGAUUUGGAGGAACACCAGUGGCGAAGGCGACUUUCUGGUCUGUAACUGACGCUGAGGCGCGAAAGCGUGGGGAGCAAACAGG